rnacentral:other from 1 species
AGAACCCUGCGAUGUUCGUGAAGCGUAUUGUGUUUUAACCGAUGCGCACGAUAAGGGAACUUGCGUUCAGCCUUCAAACAAAUGCCGCCUUAGCUUGCGGACUUGUGAAAAUGCGGACAGAGUACCCACCUGCUUAGAGCAGGUUUAAAACCGUGGGCUUUACGGCAAAGCGGGACAGUU